rnacentral:rRNA from 1 species
CCUACGGGGGGCUGCAGUCGAGGAUCUUUAGCAAUGGGCGAAAGCCUGACUAUGCGACGCCGCGUGAGGGAUGAAGGUUUUCGGAUCGUAAACCUCUUUCGAUGGGGAAGAAUGUCCAGGCUUAACCGUCUGGAUUGACGGUACCUAGAGAAGAAGCCACGGCCAACUCCGUGCCAGCAGCCGCGGUAAUACGGGGGUGGCGAGCGUUACUCGGAUUUAUUGGGUGUAAAGGGCAGGUAGGCGUCCUGUCAAGUUUCAGGUGAAAUCCUGCGGCUCAACCGCAGAACUGCCUGAAAAACUGUCAGGAUUGAGGCCGGAAGAGGAGAGCGGAAUUCCCGGUGUAAGGGUGAAAUCUGUAGAUAUCGGGAGGAACACCAGUGGCGAAAGCGGCUCUCUGGUCCGGCUCUGACGCUGAACUGCGAAAGCUUGGGGAGCAAACAGGCUUAGAUACCCUUGUAGUC